UGAGGGUGAUAAUCUUGGAAAUCCUGCUGU
rnacentral:piRNA from 1 species